rnacentral:rRNA from 1 species
GCAGUCUGCAACUCGAGUGCAUGAAGCUGGAAUCGCUAGUAAUCGCAGGUCAGCAUACUGCGGUGAAUACGUUCCCGGGUCUUGUACACACCGCCCGUCACACCAUGGGAGCCGGAAAUGCCCGAAGCCAGUGACCCAACCUUAGGGAGGGAGCUGUCGAAGGUGGAGCCGGUAACUGGGGUGAAGUCGUAACAAGGUACC